UACGAGGGGGCAAGCGUUGUUCGGAAUUAUUGGGCGUAAAGGGCGCGUAGGCGGUGCGGUAAGUCUGAUGUGAAAUCUCCGGGCUCAACUCGGAGUCUGCAUCAGAAACUGCCGUGCUCGAGUCCGGGAGAGGUGAGUGGAACUGCGAGUGUAGAGGUGAAAUUCGUAGAUAUUCGCAAGAACACCAGUGGCGAAGGCGGCUCACUGGCCCGGUACUGACGCUGAGGUGCGAAAGCGUGGGGAGCAAACAGG
rnacentral:rRNA from 1 species